AACUGCUGCAACAGCAACUCGCCAACGCGAAAAACCAAUUGCUCGGCAAUCCCGAUCUGCCGCUCGAGGAAUUCCCGCCCUACUUCCAGGCGAAAGCCGCGCUGGAUCAGGCGCAGCGCAAUCUCGAUCACACCGUGUUGCGCGCACCGAUCGACGGCACCGCGACACAGGUAGACAGCAUCCAGUUAGGUCGCUUCGUUGCAGCCGGAUCGCCGGUCUUCAGCGUGAUCGACAACGCCAAUCCGUGGGUUGACGCCAAUCUGAAGGAAUCCGACUUGACCUAUGUGGGUGUCGGACAGCCGGUCACGAUGU
rnacentral:misc_RNA from 1 species